AUUCAAGAGGCGCAUCCACUAAACAAGGAUUGAAAC
rnacentral:other from 1 species